rnacentral:rRNA from 1 species
ACCAGGGGCAACUCUGGUUCAGUGGCGGACGGGUGCGUAACACGUGAGGAACAUGACCUUCGGCGGGGGAUAGCCGGCCCAACGGCCGGGUAAUACCGCGUACGACCUUUCAGGGACAUCCCUGGAUGGUGAAAGCAGCAAUGCGCCGAUGGAGUGCCUCGCGGCCUAUCAGCUAGUUGGUGAGGUAACGGCUCACCAAGGCGACGACGGGUAGCUGGUCUGAGAGGAUGGCCAGCCACAUUGGGACUGAGACACGGCCCAGACUCCUACGGGAGGCAGCAGUGGGGAAUAUUGCGCAAUGGACGAAAGUCUGACGCAGCGACGCCGCGUGUGGGAUGACGGUCUUCGGA